rnacentral:rRNA from 1 species
AUGCACUGGAUCAGCUGGCAAAAGCUCACAGAAUCUAAAGCGCGAGGUGGUCUCGGUUUCCGGGACAUGUACAGCUUCAAUGUAGCGAUGCUAUCACGCCAAAUCUGGAGGUUGGUCCAGAACCAGGAUACUUUAUGCGCCAAAUUGCUGAAGGCUAAAUACUACCCAGACACACAAAUUUUUGAAGUUGUACCGAAGGAGGGAAUCUCAUAUGCGUGGCGCAGCCUUCUUCAUGGGUUGGAGCUGUUUAAGGAGGGUUAUAUCUGGUGCAUUGGAGAUGGUACAGAUGUCAAUAUUUGGUCCGAUCCGUGGCUCCCGAGACCGUGGUCCCGACGGGUUAUUACGCCACGAGGUGCUCAUCUCCUGGAGCGUGUGCAUGAACUGAUUGACCCAGUGUCGGGUACUUGGGAUGAGCAACUCGUCAGAGAAACAUUCUGGGCGGACGAUGCCCAUCAUAUUCUGCAGAUCCCGCUAAGAGAAGGUAUCCAAGAUUUCAUAGUCUGGCAAUAUGACUCGAGUGCAAAAGUAUCAAAGAAGGCUGGAGAGAGUUGGCCCUAG